CUACGGGAGGCUCCAGUGAGGAAUAUUGCACAAUGGAGGAAACUCUGAUGCAGCAACGCCGCGUGGAGGAUGACGCAUUUCGGUGUGUAAACUCCUUUUAUAUGUCAAGAAAAUGACGGUGGCAUAUGAAUAAGCACCGGCUAACUCCGUGCCAGCAGCCGCGGUAAUACGGAGGGUGCAAGCGUUACUCGGAAUCACUGGGCGUAAAGGACGCGUAGGCGGGAUAUCAAGUCAGGUGUGAAAUCCUACAGCUUAACUGUAGAACUGCACUUGAAACUGGUAACCUAGAGUAUGGGAGGGGGAGAUGGAAUUAGUGGUGUAGGGGUAAAAUCCGUAGAUAUCACUAGGAAUACCUAAAGCGAAGGCGAUCUCCUGGAACAUAACUGACGCUAAGGCGUGAAAGCGUGGGGAGCAAACAGGAUUAGAUACCCGGGUAGUC
rnacentral:rRNA from 1 species